rnacentral:tRNA from 1 species
GACCCCGUAGCUUAGUUUGGUGGAGUGCCCGACUGAUAAUCGGGCGGUCCGGAGUUCAAAUCUCCGCGGGGUCA